rnacentral:lncRNA from 10 species
CCAGCACGGGUACAUCCAUAGCAGAACCAGAGCUCCAGCCUCUACAUCUCUGCAACCUCACAACCCUAUCCACCCCAGAACAGCCUCACUGUGGGGAAUCUCUGGGCAGAGGCCCAGGAUGAAGGCGUGGAGGCUAGUAUCUGUCAACGAGCGGAGCAGGGACCAGCGUCUGUCAAUGAUCAGGGUGGGGCCAGUGUCUAUUAAUGAGCGGAGCAGGGGCCAGUGUCUAUCAAUGAGCAAAGGGGAGGCCACUGUCUGUCAAAGAGCAAAGGCGGGGUCAGUGUCUGCCAACGAGCAGAGGCGGGGUCAGUGUCUGCCAAUGAGCAGAGGCGGGACCAGUGUCUGUCAAUGAGCGGAGGUGGGGCCAGUGUCUAUCAAUGAGCAGAGGGGAGGCCACUGUCUGUCAAUGAGCAGAGGCGGGGCCAGUGUCUGUCAAUGAGCGGAGGUGGGGCCACUGUCUGUCAAUGAGCAGAGGCGGGGCCAGUGUCUGUCAAUGAGCGGAGGGGAGGCCACUGUCUGUCUAAGGGCAAAGGCGGGGUCAGUGUCUGCCAAUGAGCAGAGGCGGGGUCAGUGUCUGCCAAUGAGCAGAGGCGGGACCAGUGUCUGUCAAUGAGUGGAGGUGGGGCCAGUGUCUAUCAAUGAGCAGAGGGGAGGCCACUGUCUGUCAAUGAGCAGAGGCGGGGCCAGUGUCUGUCAAUGAGCGGAGGUGGGGCCACUGUCUGUCAAUGAGCAGAGGGGAGGCCACUGUCUGUCUAAGGGCAAAGGCGGGGUCAGUGUCUGCCAAUGAGCAGAGGCGGGGUCAGUGUCUGCCAAUGAGCAGAGGCGGGACCAGUGUCUGUCAGUGAGCGGAGGUGGGGCCAGUGUCUAUCAAUGAGCAGAGGGGAGGCCACUGUCUGUCAAUGAGCAGAGGCGGGGCCAGUGUCUGUCAAUGAGCAGAGGCGGGGUUAGUGUCUAUCAAUGAGCAGAGGCGGGGUUAGUGUCUGUCAACGAGCAGAGGCAGGGACAGUGUCAAUGAACAGAGGCGGGGCCAGUGUCUGUCAAUGAGCGGAGGCGGGACCAGUGUCUGUCAAUGAGCAGAGGCGGGGCCAGUGUCUGUCAAUGAGCAGAGGCGGAGUUAGUGUCUGUCAAUGAGCAGAGGCGGGGUUAGUGUCUGUCAACGAGCAGAGGCAGGGACAGUGUCAAUGAACAGAGGCAGGGCCAGUGUCUGUCAAUGAGCGGAGGUGGGACCAGUGUCUGUCAAUGAGCAGAGGCGGGGCCAGUGUCUGUCAAUGAGCAGAGGCGGGGUUAGUGUCUGUCAACGAGCAGAGGCAGGGACAGCGUCAAUGAACAGAGGCGGGGCCAGUGUCUGUCAAUGAGCGGAGGUGGGGCCAGUGUCUGUCAAUGAGCAGAGGCAGGGUUAGUGUCUGUCAACGAGCAGAGGCAGGGACAGUGUCAAUGAACAGAGGCGGGGCCAGUGUCUGUCAGUGAGGGGAGCAGGGACCAGGUUCUGUCAAUGAGCAGGGUGGGGGCCAGUGUCUGUCAAAGAGCAGAGUAUGGAGCCAGUGUCUGUCGAUGAGCAGGGUGAAGGCUAGUGUCUAUCAAUGAGCGGGUACCAGUGUCUGCCAAUGAGCAGAGUGGGGGCUAGUGUCUGCCAAUGAGCAGAGGCGGGGCCAGUGUCUGUCAAUGAGGAGAGGCAGGGCCAGUGUCUGUCAAUGAGCAGAGUGGGGGCCAGUGUCUGUCAAUGAGCAGAGCAGGGACCAGUGUCAAUGAGCGGAGCAGGGACUAGUGGCAACGAGCGGAGCAGGGCUGGAGGAAGACAGGGCAGGAGGGGAGGGAGCAGAUGCUCAGACCUGGACCCCAGCCUGGGCCUGGCUCCUCUUAGAGGCCCCUUCACCCACCCUUAGGUGAAGGGGUGAGGGCUGGGGGCUGGCAGGCAGGCCCUCGGGGCAGCAGGUGGCCCGAGGCUGGGGCGGGUACCCACCAACAGCUUCUCCUUGCUCUGACACCAUGGAGGCCAAGUCCUUGAUGAUCUGAUUCACAUCCAGCAAGUUGCUCUGUGGAAACAACAUAGAACCACAUCAGGAGCAGGGCUGUGGGGCAGACACCAAGGGCACCUGAAAGUUUCCCAUGGAACCUGGGGCGGGCCCAGGUGGCACCUGCAGAAUCAGGAACCAGAGAACAG